AGCUCAUUACAUUACAAGUUCGUCACAGCUAUUUUUUCAGGAGCAUUUCAGAGGCUCAUGGUCAGGUCCCAUGCAAGCAGAUGUGUGGAAGUGUCUCUGUCCUACAUGGACUUUUAACAUGAUUACCGUGGAUAAUCCUGAGCAGAUCCCGCACAUGUGCUGGCAAUGAAAGCUCUGUGAUUUAACGUCCAGUUAACUGACGGUAAUGGUUUGUAACUGAUCAGCUGAGUUAUUCACCGAGCAUAAGAGAUUUUUGUGAACCCAGCCACACCUUGUUUUCUUACCUCUGGAAGGGCGCUGACCCGUGAAUGUGAAUAAGAAGGGGUUACGCUUAUUAGACAGAAACACACACACACACACACACACACACACACACAAUGUACAUAAUGUGCUAAAUCAGUA